UGGCCCAAAUUUAGAAGGUGUACUCCCUUCCGUCAGCCGUUUCUCUCCCUCAUUUCCCCAAUUUCUCUCCACUUUCCUUUUCCAAAAUUGAAAUGGAGAGGAGAACCCUAGCUCUUCGACAAUCCUCUCUCGCCAUCACACGCCGUUCCGCCAUCCCCGACGAGUCGGAGUCCCUGUCGUUCGAGACUCGUCGUCUCCCCUCUGGGGCCGUAAGGCCUGGCUGUGUUCGCCUCCGACCGAUUUCAUCCCCCCCGAAUGGAGAGGACCGAAACCCCACUUGCACGGCUGCUCGAGCUCGAACGCCAUCACUCUCUUUUCGCCGGCGAGGUCCUUCUUCGCUCGGAACCCGUCAUCGCACUACGAACGUCGCCGCCCGUUGACGCCGCACGGUCGGGAUCCCGCUGCCUCCCAGCGGGGUGGAAUGGCCGCUGUUGCAACGAGAUGCUGCCGCCCUGUCCCGACUUCUCGAAGGUCAGAACUGUCGUCUGCAGCGUUGUUCAACCCGAUGACGCCGUUGGCUGCUCGCGGCGACGGCUCCAGCUCUCAUGGCCGCCGUCGUCUCAAGCUGGCGCAACCUCCGCCGCAUUCCUUCUUAAAGCUAAGUCUUUACUUCCUAUUACCCAUUUCAUUCUAUUGAAGUUUGUAUAGAAUGUAGUAGUGCUAGUGUACUGAAUUGAGGCAUGUUUAAACGGUCAAAAAUUUGGUUAUUUCCUUGUUGAUUUCUGGGGAAAUGUUGGUAUCUGAUAGCUCUGUCACUGAGCUCCUACUCCCUAUGCUUCUAACGGCAGGGGUGUGUGGAAGUUGCACUACCUCUUCUUACUCUAUUAUUUUACCUCAAAGUGCAUGGUGCCGGUCUAAUAUGCUUCAUGAUGAUAUGGGUUUAAAAUAAGAUUCGAAGGGGGUUUUACCUUCGCUGCAGCGUAUCUUGUUGUUCCUUGCUCUCAGCUUUGAUCCCCUUCACUCCCUCUCGCUGCCUGAGUCCUUCUCACUCUGUGACUCACUGUAUGCGAUUGUGUUUGUGAUGAUGAGGGAGGGAGAGGCUGAGGUCUAUUUAUGCUUGUGGCCUAACUGAAAGCCUGUAAAAAGGCUGGUAUCUCUGGUUGGAAAGUAGUCCUUGAUGGACUGGUUUGGCUGUUACCUCUGCAGCAAUUUCGCAGGGUGUACUCGUGAGUUAUGGUGGCUGCCACAGAGCUCCAGUCUCUGGCUGCUCUUUAUGCUGCCAUUUUAACUGAUUUUGAUGGCAUAUGGGGGUGUACUCGGGGUUUAUUUAUUGCUUUUGUUGGUUUAUGCCAGGUGCACCACAAUUGACUGAUUCUCCAUAACAGUAUGGCAGGUACAAGUGAAGUACGAGCUGCAGGGAUUCGGCCUUGCAGAGUGCAGCCACUGAGAUGAAAUUCUGUUGGCUGACUUGCUUCUCUCGGCCCAGCUCCCACUCACUUUUCUGAAAGGAGCUGAGGCUGCUACCGAGGCUGCCCUUCCUCGCGGUCUUGCCCUCUCGGCUUGUCUGAAAAUACUGGGGCCGAGACGGCCUAGUGAUGAAGAUCAACUUAGUUGCUAGGGACCUCGAGUUGUAAUAGCGUAGUUCGACCUCAAAUUUCUUUUAACUUAGUAUGCAAAGCUCGAUACUAGUUGGUGUGUCUUUCUUUGUAACUUACUAGCUUGAAAUUCUUUACAUUGUAUCUAUUUAUUUUCAUUCACGAAAAGUCUAUUAAUGUAUUUCUUUUCCUUUAUUUCCAUCA